GCCGGAGUGGCGGAAUCGGCAGACGCAAGGGACUUAAAAUCCCUCGGGAGCGAUCCCAUGCGGGUUCGAACCCCGCCUCCGGCA
rnacentral:tRNA from 1 species